GAUGGCGGAGUGAGGCGUGCGGCUGGUGACUGGCCUCUGGGCCCGGGGCGGGCCGGCCCCUAGGAGGCCGAGUGCGUCUGUCCGGCCGUGCGAGGUUCCUUAUCACAGGAAGAACAUUUUCCUUGACCUUUAGGUGCUUUCGUAUUCAUCUCAAAAACAAAAUGCUAAACUCAGGACUUGGAAAGUAUCUCUGUGUUGUCUCUUAUAGCGGGCAAUCUGACUUCUUUUAUCCAGCCACUUUCCCUGUUCUUGAAAUGUGGAUAUCUCUUCUCUACACAUUACCUCCACGAUUUGGAAUGGAAAAGACCAGGUUUUUUGUUCCACCUCUCAGAUUCUACACAGAGAAGCCCCUAAAACGUGUUUAUCCUGCCUACUUCUCCAGGAAGAGAGAAGCAACUGACAUGGGUCUUCUGCUGCUGCUUGCUUAAUUGUAAAGAAAUUAUUUUGGAAGCUAAAGGCUAAUGUUUCAUUUGAAACAGGUGCUUAGAUGGUGGUAUUUGUGAAUAUUUUAUUAUUUGUUCCAAAUGAGAAGACGAAGUAAAUAGCAAGUAUGGAUGACUUCAGGGUUUUUUAAAUGUCUUCCAGUUUCAGCCACUAUCAUGAUAAGAAGUUGAGACUGCAGAAUAAAUUCCAAAUAUGCAUUCUAAUUUGAAAUGAAAGACGCUAAAAAGUUACAUAAUGAUAUACCUAAUCCUGGCUCAUCCUAAAACUGAUUACAAGAGUAAACAAAGAUACUGUUUUACAAUUAAAGCUUCGAUGUGAUAAAAGCAGCAUAGAAACCAACUAUCAAUUUCUUAUGCAAACAUACCUUCACAGUGUCUGUGCAAGUACAGUUUUACAUGUGUAAAUCCCCAUUUUUGGAUCAGAAGAGGGAUUUUUCUCCAAGACAAAGAAGGUGUCUUCUCAAAAGGCUUUGGACAUUUGAUUUCUAAAAAUGUUUUUUAUUCUAAGGAAGUACCAGAUUGUGCAGCAGUUAACCUGUGAGUGCAUGCUUGGGUUUAGUGAAAGGAUAGUAAAACAGUUUUGAGUCUAGUGAUGGACCUUUUCUCCUUCCUCAGAAGAGAGGCUGCUUCAAUUGCUUCAUUCUUUUUUGUGGAAUCUUAUAUAGCAUUUUAGACUUUGUUUUCCACAUUGCUAAGACUGGAAGAAAAGUGGCAGUAAGUGGUUUUUCAGUUCAGAAGAUGUGAG